rnacentral:rRNA from 1 species
UACGGGAGGCAGCAGUGGGGAAUAUUGCACAAUGGGCGCAAGCCUGAUGCAGCCAUGCCGCGUGUAUGAAAAAGGCCUUCGGGUUGUAAAGUACUUUCAGUCGUGAGGAAGGUGUUAAGGUUAAUAACCUUAGCAAUUGACGUUAGCGACAGAAGAAGCACCGGCUAACUCCGUGCCAGCAGCCGCGGUAAUACGGAGGGUGCGAGCGUUAAUCGGAAUUACUGGGCGUAAAGGGCACGCAGGCGGUUAAUUAAGUUGGAUGUGAAGUCCCCGGGCUUAACCUGGGAAUGGCAUUCAAGACUGGUUAGCUAGAGUCUUGUAGAGGGGGUAGAAUUCCAUGUGUAGCGGUGAAAUGCGUAGAGAUGUGGAGGAAUACCGGUGGCGAAGGCGGCCCCUGGACAAAGACUGACGCUCAUGUGCGAAAGCUGGGGAGCAAACAGGGAUUAGAUACC